rnacentral:rRNA from 1 species
GCUGGCGGCAUGCCUAUCAUGCAAGUCGAACGCUUUGAUUUCACCGGGUGCUUGCACCCACCGAAGUCAAAGAGUGGCGGACGGGUGAGUAACACGUGGGUAACCUGCCCAUAAGAGGGGGAUAACAUUCGGAAACGGAUGCUAAUACCGCAUACUUCUAAUCGCCUCCUGGCGAAUGGAAAAAAGGUGGCUUCGGCUACCGCUUAUGGAUGGACCCGCGGCGUAUUAGCUAGUUGGUGAGGUAAUGGCUCACCAAGGCGAUGAUACGUAGCCGACCUGAGAGGGUGAUCGGCCACACUGGGACUGAGACACGGCCCAGACUCCUACGGGAGGCAGCAGUAGGGAAUCUUCCGCAAUGGACGAAAGUCUGACGGAGCAAUGCCGCGUGAGUGAAGAAGGUUUUCGGAUCGUAAAACUCUGUUGUUAGAGAAGAACAAGGAUGAGAGUAACUGCUCAUCCCCUGACGGUAUCUAACCAGAAAGCCACGGCUAACUACGUGCCAGCAGCCGCGGUAAU